rnacentral:rRNA from 1 species
UACGGGGGGGGCAAGCGUUGUUCGGAAUUACUGGGCGUAAAGGGCGCGUAGGCGGCCUUCUAAGUCAGACGUGAAAUCCCUCGGCUCAACCGAGGAACUGCGUCUGAUACUGGAAGGCUUGAAUCCGGGAGAGGGAUGUGGAAUUCCAGGUGUAGCGGUGAAAUGCGUAGAUAUCUGGAGGAACACCGGUGGCGAAGGCGGGUCUCUGGGCAGUAACUGACGCUGAGGAGCGAAAGCGUGGGGAGCGAACAGG